GAUGAACGCUGGCGGCGUGCCUAAUACAUGCAAGUCGAGCGAACAGACGAGUAGCUGGCUCCGCUGACGUUAGCGGCGGACGGGUGAGUAACAUGUGGAUAACCUACGUAGAAGACUGGGAUAACUUCGGGAAACCGGAGCUAAUACCGGAUAAUAUAGUGAACCGCAUGGUUCAAUAGUGAAAGACGGUUUUGCGGUCACUUAUAGAUGGAUCCGCGCCGCAUUAGCUAGUUGGUAAGGUAACGGCUUACCAAGGCAACGAUGCGUAGCCGACCUGAGAGGGUGAUCGGCCACACUGGAACUGAGACACGGUCCAGACUCCUACGGGAGGCAGCAGUAGGGAAUCUUCCGCAAUGGGCGAAAGCCUGACGGAGCAACGCCGCGUGAGUGAUGAAGGUCUUCGGAUCGUAAAACUCUGUUAUUCGGGAAGAACACAUGUGUAAGUAACUAUGCACGUCUUGACGGUACCUAAUCAGAAAGCCACGGCUAACUACGUG
rnacentral:rRNA from 1 species